rnacentral:rRNA from 1 species
CGCUAGCUACAGGCUUAACACAUGCAAGUCGAGGGGCAGCAUGGUCUUAGCUUGCUAAGGCCGAUGGCGACCGGCGCACGGGUGAGUAACACGUAUCCAACCUGCCGUCUACUCUUGGACAGCCUUCUGAAAGGAAGAUUAAUACAAGAUGGCAUCAUGAGUCCGCAUGUUCACAUGAUUAAAGGUAUUCCGGUAGACGAUGGGGAUGCGUUCCAUUAGAUAGUAGGCGGGGUAACGGCCCACCUAGUCUUCGAUGGAUAGGGGUUCUGAGAGGAAGGUCCCCCACAUUGGAACUGAGACACGGUCCAAACUCCUACGGGAGGCAGCAGUGAGGAAUAUUGGUCAAUGGGCGAGAGCCUGAACCAGCCAAGUAGCGUGAAGGAUGACUGCCCUAUGGGUUGUAAACUUCUUUUAUAAAGGAAUAAAGUCGGGUAUGGAUACCCGUUUGCAUGUACUUUAUGAAUAAGGAUCGGCUAACUCCGUGCCAGCAGCCGCGGUAAUACGGAGGAUCCGAGCGUUAUCCGGAUUUAUUGGGUUUAAAGGGAGCGUAGAUGGAUGUUUAAGUCAGUUGUGAAAGUUUGCGGCUCAACCGUAAAAUUGCAGUUGAUACUGGAUAUCUUGAGUGCAGUUGAGGCAGGCGGAAUUCGUGGUGUAGCGGUGAAAUGCUUAGAUAUCACGAAGAACUCCGAUUGCGAAGGCAGCCUGCUAAGCUGCAACUGACAUUGAGGCUCGAAAGUGUGGGUAUCAAACAGGAUUAGAUACCCUGGUAGUCCACACGGUAAACGAUGAAUACUCGCUGUUUGCGAUAUACUGCAAGCGGCCAAGCGAAAGCGUUAAGUAUUCCACCUGGGGAGUACGCCGGCAACGGUGAAACUCAGAGGAAUUGACGGGGGCCCGCACAAGCGGAGGAACAUGUGGUUUAAUUCGAUGAUACGCGAGGAACCUUACCCGGGCUUAAAUUGCAGAUGAAUUACGGUGAAAGCCGUAAGCCGCAAGGCAUCUGUGAAGGUGCUGCAUGGUUGUCGUCAGCUCGUGCCGUGAGGUGUCGGCUUAAGUGCCAUAACGAGCGCAACCCUUGUUGUCAGUUACUAACAGGUUCCGCUGAGGACUCUGACAAGACUGCCAUCGUAAGAUGUGAGGAAGGUGGGGAUGACGUCAAAUCAGCACGGCCCUUACGUCCGGGGCUACACACGUGUUACAAUGGGGGGUACAGAGGGCCGCUACCACGCGAGUGGAUGCCAAUCCCCAAAACCUCUCUCAGUUCGGACUGGAGUCUGCAACCCGACUCCACGAAGCUGGAUUCGCUAGUAAUCGCGCAUCAGCCACGGCGCGGUGAAUACGUUCCCGGGCCUUGUACACACCGCCCGUCAAGCCAUGGGAGCCGGGGGUACCUGAAGUGCGUAACCGCGAGGAGCGCCCUAGGGUAAAACUGGUGACUGG